rnacentral:sRNA from 1 species
CCCAGUUGGUUCUGGUUGGUAAAUAAAGAUGUCAGCAGCCAAUGACUGGGCAGGGCAGACAGAACCGGGACUUUUAGAAUUUCCCAGGCUUUGGGCUAAGAGGAAGAAGGAGAGGGAAGAUCUGCCAUGACAGGAGAGUGUGGAGAGGAGAAAUGCCAUGUCUGAGAAGAGUGAAGGACAGAGAGGCAUGGCCACCAUGUGAAGGAGCUGGGAGAGCGCGGCCCAGAGCAAGGCCCAGUUGGGUAGCUCUCUGACUCCAGAGCAGCCAAGACAGAACACAGAAUUUAGUUAAGUUGUGACUUGGAAUUAUCAGUAAGAGGUAGACUCUAUCAGUGGAGGUUAAGCAGUAGCCCAGCUAUUGUGGUGACUAAGACAUGUGUCUUUCCUUUGGGAACACAGACCAUUGAAGUGGAUAGAGAACCCGUAGCCGGGACUUAAUUAUUAAUUAUUUAAUUCAGCAAUGUUUGUGCAUAGGACUCCAGUUCCCAGAGGCCUCAUGUGGCUGGGUUACAAUUCAUGAUUUAUAGGUACAGAUGAUGUCUGUGGACCUCCUUGCUUGGUUUUUGAAAUAGGGUCACAGUUGUAGCUUCGGCUCACCUUGAAUUUGUGGUGAUCCUCCUGCCUCAGUCUCCCAAGUGCUGAGAUUAUAGGUAUGUGAUGCCUUCCCAAGAGGUGCUUGAAAAGUCUUGAAGUGGGGGCCUUGCCGUCCUUUGUCCUCUCAGAUAUGGUGUGUGUGCUCAGAUGUUGGUCUGGGAGGCUGUGAGGGAAACCUAUACCAGCCAGAUCUGAGUUUUACAUAGAAGUAAAACUCCCCCGUGGAAUUCGUUGUUAAUUUAGUUUCUCGUGACAUUCACAUGAACUUGGUCUAAAUGAAUGCAGGAUAAUUCUGCGACAUUUGGUCAUGCUUCUGCCUCCCACCUGGGGGCAUAACAUCUCGGCACUAAUCUGUGAGAGAUUAACAGGGCUCCAGCCUGGCCCCUUGAUGUUAGCAGUUUGAAGCGCUGGGCGCCACCUGGUGGCCACAUGGCACAAAGCCCUACCCUCUGGAAGUCUGUUUCCUGUCGUUUGCGUCUCUGCCCCAGCCCAUCCUUUAGUCAGCACCCCAAGUCUUGAACGUCAGCGGCCCGACAUGGAGUCCAGGAAUUUAAGACACCAUCGAGCUUCCUAGCUGCUGUGGGCUCCGGAAAUUGAAAGGGAGCUGUUUCUAGGAAGUGUCUGGCUGUCCUUCCCCUCCUGCCAGUUGGGAACCGGCUACUAAAUAAAGACGCCAUGUGACCUCGCUUCUGCAGACUCUCGGGUCUCAGAGCCACAGUUAAAGUGGAGAGGAGGAGGCAGAUGACUCACUGAUACUCCGGAGCAGGAAAUCAACACCCAGGGAGCCUGACCUGGCAGCGGCUCGUACAGAAUUGAUUGGCGGUGGUUUGAGCCGUGGGUGGAGUGGCUUUAAUGUAGCUUAUUAAUACUUCCUUCUGCCGACCUUGGGUACAACCCUGAAACCGGACUGGGUAUGGUGGCUCAGGCCUGUAAUCCCAGCUCUCAGGAAAUUGAGGCAAGAAGCGCUGCCAUGAGGUCCAGUGAAGCUUGAGUUCUAGAACAAAACAAAUGUCCCAAAGAAACUCUGAAAUGGCCGAUAACGGCUCCCACCGGCAUUCUUCAAGGUUUAGAGGAUGGCAGAGAGUCUCACCACACUGGGCACACACGCUGCCACCCACACUGGCCACUGCAAGUGAUGGGCUGUUUUCUCUCUAGGGGACCCUUUGCUAAUGGCUCCCUGGGUUCUGGGACCCCUCGGCCCUCAGUGUAACCACCCUUCGGACUAAGUGCGGCUCCAAGCCUCAGAGACAAGAUGGCAGAGACCCUCAGAGAAGCUGCAGCUGAAAGUAACAAGGAGACAACUUCUUAUCUUCCAGUCAGGAGCAAAAGCUGAAAUCCGAGAUGCCAGUGGUCUGCAGGCCUCUUCAUGAGGUCUACAGCAGGAUGGAAGCUGGUUCCUCUCGUCCCCUUCCAGUUGUGGCAGCCUGGACCGCAAGACAAGGGCAUCAUGGGACCUGGAACUGCAUGGCACCCAAGGACCUUGACACCUGCCUCUUGCCAUCCACUCUGCAGCCCCUAACCACACAGCCUCUGUCCCUGCCAACCACUAAUAUGAUGUAACGUAUUAGCACCCUGUGGCCACCAUUACAGGGUGCCCAAACUGGGUGUCUUGUAAAAACAGGAAUUCAUUCUGUCAGAGUCCUAGUGUUGGUAGGGCCUUGCUCUUGCCAGAGCUUUGAGGGGAAGACCUGUCAUUGUGCCCACUGGUUCCUUCAUCUCCAUUUUAACUUUCAUUUUUCUUUUUAGA